rnacentral:rRNA from 1 species
GUACACUCCUACGGGAGGCAGCAGUGGGGAAUUUUGGACAAUGGGCGAAAGCCUGAUCCAGCAAUGCCGCGUGAGUGAAGAAGGCCUUCGGGUUGUAAAGCUCUUUUGUCAGGGAAGAAACGGUGAAAGCUAAUAUCUUUUGCUAAUGACGGUACCUGAAGAAUAAGCACCGGCUAACUACGUGCCAGCAGCCGCGGUAAUACGUAGGGUGCAAGCGUUAAUCGGAAUUACUGGGCGUAAAGCGUGCGCAGGCGGUUUUGUAAGUCUGAUGUGAAAUCCCCGGGCUCAACCUGGGAAUUGCAUUGGAGACUGCAAGGCUAGAAUCUGGCAGAGGGGGGUAGAAUUCCACGUGUAGCAGUGAAAUGCGUAGAUAUGUGGAGGAACACCGAUGGCGAAGGCAGCCCCCUGGGUCAAGAUUGACGCUCAUGCACGAAAGCGUGGGGAGCAAACAGGAUUAGAUACCCCUGUAGUCCCAUGA